rnacentral:rRNA from 1 species
GAUGAACGCUAGCGGCAGGCUUAACACAUGCAAGUCGAGGGGUAGAGGAAGCUUGCUUCCUUGAGACCGGCGCACGGGUGCGUAACGCGUAUGCAACCUACCUUUUACAGAGGGAUAGCCCAGAGAAAUUUGGAUUAAUACCUCAUAGUAUAUAGUCUUCGCAUGUUGACUAUAUUAAAGUUCCAACGGUAAAAGAUGGGCAUGCGUCCUAUUAGCUAGAUGGUAAGGUAACGGCUUACCAUGGCAACGAUAGGUAGGGGUCCUGAGAGGGAGAGCCCCCACACUGGUACUGAGAACCGGACCAGACUCCGCCGGGGUGCAGCAGUGCGGAAUAUUGGACAAUGGGCGAAAGCUUGAUCCAGCCAUGCCGCGUGCAGGAAGAAGCAUCUAUGGUGUGUAAACUGCUUUUGUACAGGAAGAAACGCCCCGACGUGUCGGGACUUGACGGUACUGUAAGAAUAAGGAUCGGCUAACUCCGUGCCAGCCGCCGCCGUAAAAC